rnacentral:rRNA from 1 species
AGUGAACGCUGGCGGUAGGCCUAACACAUGCAAGUCGAACGGCAGCACAGUAAGAGCUUGCUCUUACGGGUGGCGAGUGGCGGACGGGUGAGGAAUACAUCGGAAUCUACUUUUUCGUGGGGGAUAACGUAGGGAAACUUACGCUAAUACCGCAUACGACCUACGGGUGAAAGCAGGGGAUCUUCGGACCUUGCGCGAUUGAAUGAGCCGAUGUCGGAUUAGCUAGUUGGCGGGGUAAAGGCCCACCAAGGCGACGAUCCGUAGCUGGUCUGAGGGGAUGAUCCACCCCACAGGAAGUAGGAAACGGGCCAGAUCCCACGGGGGGGCCGCAGUGGGAAAGUUGGACCAUGGGGCGAAAGCCUGACCCAUCCACACCGGGGGGGAGAAGAAGGCCUUCGGGUUUAAAACCCCUUUGGUGGGAAAAAAAAAGCAGCAGGUUAAAACCCCGCUGUUCGGACGUUCCCCAAAGAAAAAGCACCGGCAAACUCCUG